rnacentral:lncRNA from 1 species
UCCCACAAAUACGACAUUGGGAGGAACACAUACCCUUUGAGAAAUUAUUUUUAACAAACCUUCCUUUUGGGCCUUGAUUUUUAUUUCCAAACUUCCUUUGUUGAAAGUUGCGAUUUUUCUGGAAUUUAUUCUUUUGAUCUCCCUUCUCCGAUUCUCCAGCCUUUUCAAUUGAAAGAGUAACCUUUGAUUGAAAUGCCUGCUCCACCUCUUGAAUUGAAAAUUUGUUCAUUCAAAGCUCGUGUGUCUCCAAAGAAGCCAUUAGUUCAUGAAAACUUAAAGAGGAUAAAUCUUUA